rnacentral:lncRNA from 1 species
GCACCCUCGAGAGGUGUUUAACUUAUACCUGUAACGUGGAUAAGGAUCACUUCUGAGUGCAGAAUUUUUGGCUGAAUAAUGUUAAGCCUGAGUGUGGGUGAAGUUAGCCUGGAAUAAAACACCACAGGGAGUAGAGUCUUAAUUUUCUCUGUUUUUCAUUAUUCUUAACAUUCUUCAGGUUUAUACAAACUGAAAACUGAAGAAAGGGACAAGAACAUUCAUAUCAAGUGAUUAAAAAGCUGAACAUCAUGGGGUCCAGGUCUUUGAACUCAGAAAGCGGACACUCAGAAAAUGAAGAAGUCCAUUUCUUUGGAACAGAUGGGACUAGAAGAAACUUAAUGAAGCCCUUGAAGGUGAAUGAGACAGUCUGGGAAAGUGGAGGGAGCAAUGGAGGGCAAGGAGAAGCUCGAGGAAGCCUCACCCCCAAGCUGUGCAAGAACGUGGCUUGUCUGGAAAACACAACUAUUUCUGCAUAAUUGGCUGUACCUCUGGUGGUAGAGAGGCCAGGGGUGAGGCUGGAAAGGAGAGCGAUACCAAACUUGAAAUGGAUUACAAAGAUCAUGCUAAUGAAUUCAGCAAAUCCUCACUGGAUUUGAGGAUCCAUAGAAGACAUUACAAGGAAUGAAAUGACAAUGCGUCUUCUAUUUGCUUGUGAGUAUAAGGCAAAAGCAACUUCUGAAUCUUUGUCACUCUAAUUGGAAGAUAUAGGAG